GACGAACGCUGGCGGCGUGCUUAACACAUGCAAGUCGAACGGUGAAGCGCCUUCCUUUUUGGUGGGUGUGGAUGAGUGGCGAACGGGUGAGUAACACGUGAGUAACCUGCCCCCUUCUUCUGGAUAACCGCAUGAAAGUGUGGCUAAUACGGGAUAUUCUGGGUCUGUCGCAUGAUGGGUCUGGGAAAGAUGUUGUUUCGGUGGGGGAUGGGCUCGCGGCCUAUCAGCUUGUUGGUGGGGUGAUGGCCUACCAAGGCGGUGACGGGUAGCCGGCCUGAGAGGGUGGACGGUCACACUGGGACUGAGGCCCGGCCCAGACUGCUACGGGAGGCAGCAGUGGGGAAUAUUGCACAAUGGGCGCAAGCCUGAUGCAGCGACGCCGCGUGAGGGAUGGAGGCCUUCGGGUUGUGAACCUCUUUCGCCAGUGAAGCAGGCCUGCCUCGUUUGUGGGUGGGUUGACGGUAGCUGGAUAAGAAGCGCCGGCUAACUACGUG
rnacentral:rRNA from 1 species